AGUCGCCGGUCCUCCCCUGUGCGAGGCGGGCAUACAGAGGGCCCACCUGUGCCCAGUGCAGGGAACUGCCUGAGCACCAGCUGCAGGUGAGCUCAGGUGAGGCGGCUCGUGGGUCCAGGCCAGCUUCGGAGACGCCUCGGAACAAGGCUUCUCCAUCUUCCAUAUAUGGUAACACUCUACCUUAAAGAAACAAACGGAAGACCAAAAAAAGCCACAUGACAUAGUGGAAAAAACCCUACACUUGGGAAGGAAAUCCAGGCUCCUGUUUUGUUUCCAGCACUACCUUAUACAGACAAAACACUUGCCAGUUCAGGCUUCUUCCCUGCGGUGAUAAAGGGAGGGAACACCACCCUCACAGCCUGCUUCCCGAGACUGUGCGUCCUGUGUGCGGCCAGAGCUAGGCUGCUCUCGGAGGCGGUAGCUGUCUGAGAUGGAGGCCUGGGGAUGCUCUUUGACUCCUCCCCUGCUCCCCCUUCUCUCGCUGCGUCAGAUGUGUCCUCAGAGCCUUUUGGUUCUGCCGUCAGAACUGUGUGCAGAGUCCGACACCGCCUGCCUCCUCUUCUGCCACCCACCCACGUGGCCGUUCUUCCUGCAGGAAUUCCUGCAGCAGCUCCCUGCCUGGACUCCGCAUCCGCCUGCCUCCUCCGGACUGUUUCGAAACUGCAGAGAACCUAGCUUUCGGUCCCUGCACCCUCUGUCCAGUGACCAUCCCCCCCAUUCUACUUACAGACCUUCAAAGUCCUCUUCUGGGGGCUUCCCCAUCCCCGCUUUAAGAUCGUGCCCUUUUCUCCAAAUUGCCUGUCUCCCUUCUGGUGCUGUAGUUCUUCUCUUGUUUUUCCUUUCACUUAUUUUACUUGUAUUUUACUAG
rnacentral:lncRNA from 1 species